UUUCUUCUCGGAAGAUACUGUAUAACAUUAGCCAUGGAGAACUGCAAAUAUGUUGCUACUGCUCUCAAUAACAUUUAUGCCCUGAAUUUAUCAGGCGCGAUCAACUAAGGUCAGUGGGAAAAAGUUGUGAUGGACUACUUUCUGGAGGACGAUCGUGCCAUGCUAACUCUCUCGGACUCUGAAAAUGAAUCAGACGAUGAGGAAAUCCCUGAUUUAGGUAAAAACGUUACAUGUCUAAACAAAAGACUCCAAGUUAAAACAUGCCGUUAACUAGCUAACGUUAGAUGGCUGGUUUGCGAACGUUACUCUAUGUAUUGGGAUUUUUGUUAAUUUUUUUAGCUAGCUAACAUUACAUGUCUAAACAAAAGACUCCAAGUGAAAGCUUGCUGGUUACACCUGAAGCAUGAGGACUUGCUGCGAAUGGUGAACUUCAUCAACAACUACGCAGAGGCUAAUGCAAUAGUAUUACCAGGAUGCCACCCAGGACAGACACUUUGGUGGAAAGCUGCUGCCAUCUCAUGUGACAAAAGCAGUGGUGUGGUGUCUCUACAAAGAAUCGAUGACAACACUUGAGGUACGUGUAGUCGGGCUGUCUUCCUUAAGGAAUCUGUGGAGAAAAUUGCUGCCCCACAUCUCAAGCACUAAGCAGAGGACAGACCUGUGUUGGCAGUGCCAGAGGAACAACUAUCAGGUCUUCAGAUCUGCCAGAAGCUGUUAAGUCAGCCAAGUGGAAGAAGCAAGAGCAGCAUCUCCUGCUUGUUCAGAGUGAGCGGUCUGUCUACCAGAAAGUGGUUGCUGAAUGCAAGACUAUCAAGACCUGCAGUUGUCUCUGUGGGCCCCUACUGAACCAGGAAGCAGACAUCAGGAUGCGUUGCAUCUUUAAUUUUGCUCAACAAGUGCACUAUCCUUCUGACCCUAUGCAGCCAGGUCCAAUCUACUUUAUAACUCCUCGCAGGUGUGGAUUGUUUGUCUGCUGUGAAGGAAUACCACAAGUCAACUACUUGAUUGAUGAAAGCAUGUCAUCCAGCAAAGGCAGCAGCACAGUCAUCAACUACAGAGUUGGGGAAACGCGUGUGGACCCUAAUUGUGAUAACUACAGUGGCCAGAACAAGUUUGUGCUCUGGUAUUGUGCCUGGCGGACCAUGCACUAGCUCCACCAUGAUCUGGACCUUCACUUCCUGAUCACAGGCCACACCAAGUUUGCCCCCGACUGGUGCUUUGACCUCAUCAAGCAGCGCUUCAGAAAGACCAGAGUGAACACUUUGUCUGAGAUUGCUGGUGUUGUGAAGGACAGCACUGUGACGGGUCAACAUCCCACAGCUGGUUG